UCCCAGCACAUUGAACUUCCAAACCCCUUUCAAAAUUCUCGAAACAACCGUUUGAACUUCAUUCGCUUUGAAAUUCAUUCACUACGAAAUUCAACACUUCCUUUAAGCCCAUUCUACACUUGAAACUGAUUCUCUUAAGAUGGUAUUUUCAAACAUUCAUUCAUUAAUUGGAAAUUUCUCAGGUUCACUCUCACACAUGGAGUCACUAUCUGAGGCUCACUCUCGCAUUCCCAAAUCGGAAUCGACAGUCCCCCUAGGUUUCUUAUUUUUUCGAUAUUUAUUAAUCAUUUCUUGUUAUGGUACAUCCUUUGACAAGGGGAGGAUCAUUGUUAAAGAAGAGAGUGCGGGUUCUGUUUCAUUCUCACAUCACCUUGUUAGAAUUGAGAAACCUAUAAUAUGAUCCCAAGUUUAGAAAUCAUUUAGACAGGUCUUGUCACUAUGAGAUUCAUUGCCUGAUAGCUUGCUUUAUCAUUUGUUUUGGGUUUACCAUUUUCCUCUGGUUCAUUGUGUACAGGAUUGUUUCCGAUGAAUUCAAAUUUAACAAUGAAACAAACCUCAUUCCCAUUUGGAAACAUCGCUGAAGGUAAUCAUGGUUGUUACCGAUUAUUCUAUGGAAAUAGUUAUUAUUGUGAUGCCCGGGUUUAACAAAGCAAGUCCUGCAGAUCAAAU